CUUUUAGUAAGAAGUGAGCAUUUCAAUGCUUAUUAGUAAUGAUGAGAUAUCUGUUAAGCCAUCUUUGCCCUGUCCGCCUCUUCUGCACUUUCUCUCACUUUGGAGCAUAAGUAGGUGGCUGGAGUUGCUGUGCUUAAUAACAAUAACGGCUCUUUAUGGAAGAAUGUCUAAGGACUGCACUGUCAAAGCAUUAGGAGCCUGUCUUAUACCAAAACAGACUGUCUAGUUCAGUGUUGCUUACACCAGAGGUAACCAGUCUGGUGCCCUCCAUAUAUUGUUGCCCUCUCAAUACCCUGCUGCCUUCCUCUGCUUCCCUAUAGCAUCUGUUGCCUGAGGCAGCUGCUUCACUCUGUCUAAUGGAGCCAGUCCUGAGUAAGUCCAGAGUUCAGUGAGGCUUACACUGCAGCAGAUUCUGCAGUCUGCACAGGCUGGGUGAGCUGCUGGUCUCCUGCUGCCAUGCCAUUAAGAUCCAUCCCCUGGUGUGUGAGGCUGUCCCAUACAGGGAUAGAACCUGCAACCUUGGUUUUCAGACUGGACUAUUUCCCUGCCCUACUUGGAGAAGCUGGGGAUUGAACCUGGGACAUUCUGCAUGCAAAGCAUAUCUUCUGCCACUGAGCCACGGCACAUGCCUGAAUUUUAGAAUGCAAGGGGUUUUCGUGACUGCUUUCUACAGCAGCUGUAUCCACCGAGAGGAGCAGCAUAGAGAAGCAGCAGCCACAGAAGCCAGGAGAAGAGAAGAGGAGAGGCUCACAAAAUGAUGCACGCAUACAUUUUCAGUAAAGCUUUCAUCCUUCAGAAAAAGACCCCCCUGGUUCCCUGUCGGGCUCCAUAGCUCUUUAACAAUCCCUUCACAUCAAAGGUUUCCACAAUUGUUAAGAGAUGUGCCUCUUUCCCCAGAAUAUUUCCGAGCCCUUGUUAAAUUCAAGCUGUUAUCUGUUGCUGUUUGAAUGCACUCUUCUGCUCACUUUCCAUGGCAGGUUAUGAUCAGUUUUCAUCUUCUUUUGAAGACAGAUAACCUGAUCUGUCACUUUCAGAGUUGCAAAUGGGGAAAAUUUGCAUUGAUUGAUCCCAGAAAUGACAACCCCAGAUGGGAAGAGGACUCUCUUGAUCAGAUCAAGCUGCCAUCAGGCUACAAUAAAAAAUAUUUUAAAAAUGUUUUAAAGCAGGCAGAACCGCUUGCAAUGUUGUAUUUGAUGAGAGAAAUUUACUGUCUCAGACCUCACUGAGUGGGGUCACAUAAGCAUAAUUACAAGAGAAAUGCUACAAUUAUUGCCUGAAGCAAACCAAGCUCAGUUGAAGACCCAUGAGGAAACUGCAGCGAUGCUCACGUUGGGCAUACAAUAAGGUGAUAUUGCCCUUAGUUCAGUGACUCUGUGCCAUUCCAACCAGGCUUGGGGACCUGGGCAGCAAUGGGUCUAGGGCCCAAACCCCCAGAUCCUGGGCAUGCCUGGACAUGGACAACCGUAGAGUUAUGUAUAUAGUGCAAGAGGGUUGGUUGUAGUGAAAACAGCUGUCCAGAGACACCUGCUGUUCAGCAAUCCCUGAAACCUAGUGGGCAUGUCCCCAUGAUGGAGAAGCCCGCUACACACUUCUAGGACAGCCUGAGAGGGCUGUGAACAAGCCUGCCAUCAUGGAUGCUUCCUGGUGAGGUUAUAACCCCUGCAUGUGCCUGGCAACAGGAAGAGGAUGUCAUCAUUUGCCAUCAGGCCCUAGAGGAGGAGGAGGAGGGGGAGUUUGGAUUUGAUAUCCCGCUUUAUCACUACCCAAAGGAUUCUCAAAGCGACUAAUGUUCUCCUUUCCAUUCCUCCCCCACAACAAACACUCUGUGAGGUGAGUGAGACGGAGAGACUUCAGAGAAGUGUGACUAGCCCAAGGUCACCCAGCAGCUGCAUGUGGAGGAGAGGAGACGCGAACCCGGUUCACCAGAUUACGAGUCUACUGCUCUUAACCACUAUACCAUACUGGCUCUGUACACAGAGACUGUAGGAUCUCCUGUCAGGCUGACGGUCCACAGUCCACACCUCAUGACCAUAGUUUAGUGGUAGAAUCCCUACUUCGCAGGCAGAAGGUUCUAGGUUCAAUCUCCUCCACCUCCAGAUUGGCUUGGGGAAAGCUUCUGUCCGAAACUUUGGAAAGCCACUGCCAGUCAGUGUAGAUUAUAUUGAGCUAAGGGGACCAGUGUGGUCUGACUGAGUAUAAGGCAGCUUCCUAUGCAAAACUUCUCUUGAACCUGCUGGGGAGCUCCAGAGGAUGAAUAUAGAUGCUGGGGAGAAGGUUUGAGCCACUAUGGCUUGGAGGUGCCAUGAGAGCAUCACUGCUCAGCGCUCAGAAAUUGACUUGCCUAUGGGAGCAUAAGCCCAGGGCUUGUUGUGGGGCGCUAUCCGUGACCUAUGCACCCACCCCCUGACUCCAUGCUUAGGGAGUUGGACUAUUCAGGGGAGGAGAGGGUAGACAUAAUUUGGCAUUGCUGACUCCAUGCCACAGUGGUAUGGCCAGGUGACUGGUGCCUCUUCACCCUUGCCUGAGAUUCCAUGACACCUGGAGCUGCAUGGUCCAUCUCUUCCCAUCCUAUCCCUGUCGUCCUCCUCACCAGACCUGAUCAGCAGAUCCCCAGAGUCUGUGCCACACAGACCCCCUUCCCCAGCAGCAACACCAUGGCUGGGUGGAGGCAGCUUGGAGGGAGAGGAGUCAAAUGUGAAGAGGAGCUGUGGCAGCCCAUGCCACCAACUCCAGCACCACUGCAGCAAACAGCCACCUGGGCGCUCAUGCUUCAGCCUCCCCACCCCCAUGGGUGUGAGAGGGGUACUGCCAAGCCUGUCCACUCCACCUUAGACCCCUUAGCUGAUGUAGUUCUGUGUGUUGCCCUCCAUGCAUCUGGACUGUGGUUCUUGCAAGAUGGAAGUGCCCAGGAGUGUUUGGGCUACAGAGCCAACAGACUGGAGUGCUUCUCCUGUGUGUGAGAGACAUUGCCCACUGCUGUUGGGGGGAAAAAAUAGGAGUGUU